rnacentral:miRNA from 1 species
UGAGGCAGGAGGAUCACUUGAACCCAGGAAGUGGAGGCUGCAGUGAGCCGAGAUCGUGCCACUGUACUUCAGCCUGGGUGACAGAGUGAGACUCUGUCUCA